CGUGCUUAUGGAUAAGCACGGGUCAGCAGGGAUGAGGGCCAAGGAACAAUCGCGGAGCGAUUUCAUCAGGAAGAUGAUGGACGACAGGGAGCAGGGAAGAAGACGGGCGGGGAUAAACUCCCGCCCCUUUUUU
rfam:Pseudomonas sp. Chol1 Contig2, whole genome shotgun sequence.